AUCGAAAGGUCCCAGGUUCAAAUCCCGGGAGCGGAGUGAGCGCCCGCUGUUGCUCCAGCUUCUGCCAACCUAGCAGUUCGAAAACAUGCCAAUGUGAGUAGAUCAAUAGGUACCGAUCCAGUGGGAAGGUAACGGCGCUCCAUGCAGUCAUGCCAGCCACAUGACCUUGGAGGUGUCUAUGGACAACACCGGCUCUUCGGAUUAGAAAUGGAGGACCAACCCCCAGAGUCAGACAUGACUGGACUUAAUGUCAGGGGAAACCUUUACCUUUUUUAAAUAAACAUAAUAACAACAGCAAUAACAACAACAACAACAACAACUGUGCCAGUAAGGUUUUUCCUUAAGAUACUUCAGGGUAUGGUGCUUUUGGCUCAGGUCAACCAGACACUCUAAUUUAAUCACCAAAGUCUCUUUCUUGCAAACAUACUUAUUAUUCGCAAUUAGAGACAAAGAAAAAUCCUGCAAGGUGGAAACAAUUGGGAACAUGAGAGAUUUAGUCAGGUAAUUAAGCAGGUAUCCUGUUAAGUGUAUAAACCUCCCGAAAUGUCCUGGCUGGAGUGAAGGGGUGGAGAGAUGCUCUGUGAUUGGCUGAAGAAACACAGGAAAUCCCUUGAUGCACUUAAGAGAUUGGUAACAAUACCUCCUGAAGGGAACAGCCUUUGCACGUUGAACAGGCUGUUUCCCUGGUGACAUCGCGUCCAUAGAGUUCCAGCCAAAACCCCAAAGGGGGCUUUGCAUUUUUAGAGGGAUGCCCAGUUGCAAAUCCAGAAGGAGGAAAGAUGGAAAGAAAUGCUCUCUCAGCAGACUAAGGAGUUCAUGGGAACCUUGAAAACUUCAUGCAACAACAUCAGCAGUAGCAGCACACCAUGUCUGAAAGCUCCUCAGGUCUGAACACAAGCUGCUUCAGGUUCUGCACCUCCCAAUCGUCUCCUUGCUCUGAUUUAAGCAAUCUAGACAUUUGUUUGCCAGUGUUGUCACCAAGGAACAGAGUGAUACAUCAAAUACAUCAGCCAAGCUGUGAUUCGGGCAUUGCCUCUCCACUUCCAUCAGAUUCUUUCAAGUAUCUCACCUGGCAUGAAUUAGAAGAACAUGAUGUUCAAGGGAGUCAAAUCCACUGUCCUCGAGUGAGAGAAGGUCCUUCUGAAGAAGAGUGUUUUCUCAGAGGAGAACAUCACACUCUGUAUGCAAAAAAACAACUGACAGAGAAAGAGAAAUGGGAGCAAAGGCUACAGGAGGACUGGGAAAACUGCAUGAGUUUAAACCUUUCAUAUCAAGAUUUGGGAGACCUGUACCAAGUAGGGAACUGCAUAAGGAUUCUUCGUAGAUUAAUUCGAGUGGAGAGGCUUUUGCUGGUGGACAACUCAUUGACAGAUCUAAGUGCCAUAUGCUUGCCAAGAUGCAAAGAACUGAAACUCAGCAAAAACCAUAUUACAUCCUUCAAACAGCUGCCAAAAAUACCUGAGAUUCACCACCUGGCCCUUGAUGAGAACAACAUUGAGACUCUGGAUGAACUGUCAGCCUUGAGACACACUCCACUGGAAUCCCUUGUGCUUGAGAGAAAUCCUUGUGAGUUUCAAGAAAACUACAGAAAACUUGUCUUCUCCAAGUUGCCAAACCUGAAAGUGCUGGAUGGAAUCCCAAAACUGCCAGAGGACUGUCUUCCACCAGAAACCAAUUUUUUAUGUAAAAUAUGCACCAUACUAUAAUAUAUUUUUGUGAUGGGACUCUAAAAAUUGCCACAAUUAAAGCAGUAAAUCAUA